AUGCAUAACAUUCUUCUCAUCAAACACUUUGGAAUAAUGCCUAUUGAGGGAUGUGAUGUAUUCUCACAUCACAAGACAUUUAGUACAUGGAGACAGGUGGGAGCUAAACACUGGAACACAUGGACACAAAGAUGGCAGCAAGAGACACUGGAAACUACUAGAGAGAGAAGGAAAGGAGCAGGGCAAACAUACUACGCCCAGGACCCGGAAGACGGGAUUAAUGAAACCCCAAACCUCAGCGUCCCAGGUAACCCAGCCUUCCUUUUGCCUUCUUCAUGGGACUGUAAAAAGUUGUUGAUACAAUGGUCCAAAAUGGACGGCCAGAGAUCUAUUACAGCAAAGAGAGUGUUUGGCUGGGAAAGCCUGAAUUUGAGCUUCACAGCUCAUAAAGCUUGA
ensembl:lncRNA